UAAACUGAAGAGUUUGAUCAUGGCUCAGAUUGAACGCUGGCGGCAGGCCUAACACAUGCAAGUCGAGCGCGAAAGGCCCUUCGGGGUUGAGUAGAGCGGCGGACGGGUGAGUAACGCGUAGGAAUCUACCUGGUAGUGGGGGACAACAUGGGGAAACUCAUGCUAAUACCGCAUACGCCCUACGGGGGAAAGCGGGGGACCUUCGGGCCUCGCG
rnacentral:rRNA from 1 species